rnacentral:rRNA from 1 species
CCUACGGGCGGCAGCAGUGAGGAAUAUUGGUCAAUGGUCGCAAGCCUGAACCAGCCAAGUAGCGUGCAGGAUGACGGCCCUAUGGGUUGUAAACUGCUUUUAUACAGGGAUAAAAUGAGUCACGUGUGCUGUUUUGUAGGUACCGCAUGAAUAAGGACCGGCUAAUUACGUGCCAGCAGCCGCGGUAAUACGGAAGGUCCGGGCGUUAUCCGGAUUUAUUGGGUGUAAAGGGAGCGUAGACCGCAUGUUAAGCGUGGCGUGAAAUGCCGGGGCUCAACCAUGGCACUGCGGUGGGAACUGGACUGCUUGAGUGCGCGGAACGUAUGUGGAAUUCGUGGUGUAGCGGUGAAAUGCGUAGAUAUCACGAAGAACACCGAUUGCGAAGGCGGCAUACGGCAGCGUUACUGACGCUGAAGCUCGAAGGCGUGGGGAGCGAACAGGAUUAGAUACCCCGGUAGUC